UACGGAGGGUGCAAGCGUUAUCCGGAUUUACUGGGUUUAAAGGGCGCGUAGGCGGUCAGCACAAGUCAGUUGUGAAAUCUCCGGGCUUAACCCGGAAAGGUCAACUGAUACUGCGGGGCUAGAGUGCGGAAGGGGCAACUGGAAUUCUCGGUGUAGCGGUGAAAUGCGUAGAUAUCAGCAGGAACACCCGUGGCGAAGGCGGCUUCCUGGAUCACCCCUGACGCUGAGACGCGAAAGCGUGGGGAGCGAACGGG
rnacentral:rRNA from 1 species